UGACGUGGAUAAAGAAAAACUGUAGAGCUCCCCUCCCGCCUCAUCAUCAUCAUCAGACACCUUGUAGACGAGAAGACAGGUAAAAUGCAGCUGAAUAACCGGACGAGGCUCACGAGUCUAAGGCUGACUGUAAUCAUCUAACACAAAGUUGAGAAGAAGAAGAAGAAGAAGAAGUAGAAGAAGAAGAAGAAGAAGAAGCGCCAUGAAGAAACACCUGAGUCCUACUAAACAACAGCAGCAGCAGCAGCAGCAGCAGCAACCACCGGCUGAUGUCUGGGCGUCAGGCGGCGAGGUUACCGUGCAACAACUCAACGAGCUCCUGUCCAAUGGCAGCGGCUAUUACAGCUUACCGACACAACAUUUCAACGAGGUGUUCCCCAGAAUUUACAUCGGCAAUGCGUUCGUCGCCCAGAAUGCAAUGCGUCUGCAGAAACUCGGAGUGACGCACGUGCUCAACGUGGCGGAGGGAACCUCCUUCAUGCACGUCAACACGAGUAUGGAGUUCUACGCGGGGACGGGCAUCACGUACCACGGCAUCCAGGCCAACGACACGGAGCAGUUCAGCCUCAGUGCCUUCUUUGAGGAGGGGGCUGAUUUUAUCGACAAGGCCCUAGCACACAAUAACGGCAAAGGAAAGGUCUACGUCCACUGCAGAGAAGGCUACAGCCGCUCCCCCACCAUGGUCGUCGCUUACCUCAUGCUGCGCCACAAAAUGGACGCCCGGGUGGCCGUGGCCACCGUGAGGCACAAGAGAGAGAUCGGCCCCAACGACGGCUUCCUUCGCCAACUGUGCCAACUGAACGAGAAGCUGGCCAAAGAGGGCAAACUGAACGGGGAGGUGGGCAAGCUAAAGACCAAAUAAAAAGCAGGGCCUGCCCUCUUCUCCUCCCAUCAUGCCUUUUCACAGGUUUUCAGCUGCGCUCUCGGAGACUGACCCCCCCGCCCUGACCAAACCAGCACCCAUCUGACAACAGGGGUAUUCUGAGACACAAACAUACAUGCAUUUAUCUGUGUAGAUAAUCCUCCCUCAUGCAUACACUCGACCUCACACACUCCGUUUGUCGUUCUCCGGUUCACGUCUGCCACCGCCGCCCUGUGAGGGGACGCCUGUCUGAGCGUGAUCACACCAAACACACCUCUUACUUUUCCUGUUUCUAAACUCUACGACGCGUCGCUCCUUGUACCUGAAAGCUCGGCAUUUUUCGAUCAUGUUUUUUCGAGCUGAAAUACUGAAAGCAUUCCUUCAAUUUCCACAAGUCCGAAAAAAAAAAAGGUGAAAAACUCUGCCCUCAUUUUUAAGAUUAUAGCACAAUCACUCCAUAGUUUUCCACUGCCGGGAGUGUCGCUGAGAAAUAAAAAAAAAAAAGAACUCUUAAGAUGCUAAAAGUCACACAUGAUGCAGAGAGAUUUAAGUCAGUUAUGUUGGACACAGAAAGUGAAACCAGAUCGAUCCCAAACAUUCCAUGUCGACAGGGGGGGAAAAAAAACGCCCAACUCGAUCCUCAAAUCCCCCUCUCUCUCUUCCACCUGUAUGGGCAGAUAUUUGAUGCACAAAGACACAUUUUCACAAUCAAAUGCACGCUGUGGCUCUCUGUAGCAUUUCAGUCGGCAUCCUUGACUCUCCGGCGCGCUCUAGUUUGAUGGUAGGUAAGCAUUCAGACGUUCGUCGUCGUGAGACACUGAGCAGCUGAAUCUGAAACGGCAGCAAAAGGUCGAGCUUGUUAAAAAUAAUGAGCUAUACGUGAGUCGUUCAUGUAGCAGCUGAUAUGACGAAUGUUCAUUAGAGCUUUUUCUUUUUCUGAAGUGGUUCAUGAACUAACUGACCCCCCCCCCCCCACCUGCAUUAUAAAUAAUAAUGUUCUGUUAUGAUGAAUCAGCAGAUAAAGAAAUAGUUCAACAUUUGACAAAGGUUUAUCCUGAAGCAGAAGUUGCCAUGGUGAUCACAACCUGCUCAGGAGCAGGCUAUGUGUUCGGAGUAAGUUACCAUGGUGACCACAACCUGCUCAGGAGCAAGCUGUGUUCAGCAUUAGUUACCAUGGUGACCACAACCUGCUCAGGAGCAAGCUAUGUGUUCAGCAUUAGUUACCAUGGUGACCACAACCUGCUCAGGAGCAAGCUAUGUGUUCAAAGUAAGUUACCAUGGUGAUUAUAACCUGCCCUGGAGCAGGCUAUGUAGUUAACCUUGAAGUUACCCCGCUAACCGAAAAUCCUGCUUUGUGGUGCAGGCCGCAGAGGUGAUUACAUAAAUAACAAAAAAAUAAAUAAACAAACUAUGGAAGAAAAAAAACCAGAAGGGUAGGUAAGGAGCUAAAGACCAGUUUCUGUUGGAGAAAAAAAAAAACCUUAUUUAUACAGAGUUUCUUCAAUUACUGCAAAAAGAGAUUUUCUGUAAACCACUGAUUUAUUAUCAUUUAAAAGUUUCCAGUAGGAGGAUAGUGGAGUUUUAAAUUCUACCACUGACACACUGAACAGUCAAGGAUGCCACCCGCCUCCAGCAGAGUAAACCUCCAGUCAUCACACCAGAGAGUCGUCCACUGCCAAGUCCCCUGACACCGCCACUCGGGACACAGUAUCCAGUUCCACUGUUUCAUCAACACAGUCUGUCAGAGGGUCCAUACACAACAUGUCAACAUGCCUCACUCCUCUUUAAGUGUGUGUGUCAUAACUGAACGCACACACUGGGUCAAAAUCACCAAGUCCCUUUUUUCCCGAAAGCAUUGCGAUAUAUGUCAAUACCCCAUCAGAUAUAUAGAAUGUAAUCACAUCUAAGUAUGAAUAUUCAGGCUGUAGUUGUUACAUAUACAGGUAGGCAACAACACAUUUUAAUGACACUAUUACCAGGCAUAAUACUGUACACUAGGUUGUCUCACCUCAUUAAAGGCACUAUUUAUUCCUCCUUUGAUAUAUCUGUAUACAUAUGAAUAUAUACAUGUAUACUGUAUAUACAUAAGUGUUGACAUAUAUGAAUGUACGAGCAAUGUGUCUAUAACGUGUAGGUAUCGUCAGUAAGUCUUUAUAUAUCAUGUUAUAUUUGUGUAUGGCUUCCCAGAGAAGCUCCUCCAUACCUUGUUUUUUCAGUUAUUAACAUGUACAUUCAUAUUGAAAUAUAAUGUACAUGUGUAAAGUGUUGUGUGUAAUUGUGAUGUUUUCCGAUCACAAUUGUGGGAAAAGUUGCUGGGUUAUUUUAAAAGCUUAGCCGGGACACCGAGGCCUAAAUCAUCGUCGUAAUCAUGCAGUUUUUUUUUAAGUUUCUGUGCCAAUGCUAGUUUGUUCAUAAGACACGGGCGAGGUGCAGGUGGCAGCGUAAGAGGGUCAUUGGUUUAUCCUGCGUACAUGUCAUCAUGUUCAUCGCAUCGGAAAACAUUUACAGCUUUUGUUUACCUGCAGAGACGUUUCUGUUUCUGACCGAUAUGAUUUUUUUUUUAAUUUGGAUGAAAACAAAAGGAUUCUUCAGCGACACUUUGAAUUUCAGUGACGUGUUUUGGGCUUCAAAAUGUAACAUGGAAUUUCCUUGUAUCCCUUAAUCACAUUUAGCAGACUUCAGACUCUCCAAUAGGGGGGUGGUUCAGGACUUUGUUGAAUAGGGGCUGGUCAUGGACUGUAUGAAACAUGGACGUUGUCUCUGUGAUGUCACACAUUGGUUUCUGAAGAGGCAUUUUGAAGCCCAAUGAUGGCCGUCCCAACAUUCGACUUGAACUCAUUUCUGGCUAAUAUCUUCUUGCUGGCUGCAAAACAAAUCUGCCUAUGGGUUAAAAAAAUUAAAUAUCACCUGAAUCUAGACGCAGGCAGAGAGGUGGGGUUGAGUCGGGCUGAAUGAAUAUCUUGGUAGCUGUAACACACCCAUCUAGCUCGUCGUCUAGCUAGCGUAUUCCAAACAAAAAAAAAACAGAGCCGCCAGGUUUCGGCCUCCUGGCAAACUAAGACGUGUUGGCCUGUCAGUCAAAUUAGCCUCAUAAUGCAAAACUGUAAAAUGGGCAUUUUAAUAUGGGACCUAAUGGGGAUUCCAUGGUUUUUGGAGCCAGCCUCAAGUGGCCACUCGAGCUACUGCAGUUUUUUGCACCUUGCAUUGGCUUUAUUUUUCAACAUUGCAGGGUGCUGCUUGUUUGUACCUCAACGUUCACAUAUGGCAGACUGAAGACUCUCCAAUAGGGGGAGCUGUUUGAAUAGGGGCUGACACUAAAGCCGUGUUUUUAUAUCGGCUUAUGACAAAUUUGUAUUAAACCUAAUCGACACCACAUUGGGGUUGGAUGGAAUGGGUGGUAGAUGAUAGCAUCUACAACCUUUAAAAAUGUAAUCCCAAAACAUGCAUUGAAAUGUCAAGUGUUGCUUUAGAUUCCGGCUGACCAUAGACAGGAGAAAUAAAGAGAGGUGGAUCUCAUCAAAGGGAGUUAGAAACGAGUGCAAAGGGUCUCAAACUGUCUCUGAGUUGUGAUGCCUCUCACUGGGGGAUUACACAAGGAUGCACUGAUUCUGACUUCAUUCACUGUUUUUUUUCCCCAUCGACUUCCGACCCCUGUCAUCCGGUCAUCUCAUACACCUGAAAAUGUUUCAGAUCUUGGAAAAAAAGAAAGCUGUUUUGCAGUACACAUGACAAAUCAACUGGAGAACAUUUUCAGGUGGUGCACGUCUUACACUUCAUUUACCCGACCCAUCCGCAUGAACCCCAAAACACACACAACAAUAAAGUCUCCCCUGUUAACAAAGACUUACGUCUAAAGGCAGAGAGAGCCACUUACCUCUGAAUGCGAAACUUAAAUAGUAUCUGUGCCAAGUGACUUACUCUACUUUAAAAAAAAGCCUUCUGUACAUGUGUUUGAUUGGCUUCUUGGGGUUACUCAUUAAUCUGCUCCACAACACUGCCCUCCUUCUGAAUACACAAAAAGCAACAACCAUAUCCAAGCUGUUCAGUAUUUCCAGUCAAGUUUUCCUUACAGUAAAACUUAAAAAUUUGGCGAAUAUUGAGAAAAACAAAGUCUGCAAACCGGUCCAGGAUGAGGGUAUGUUCUUACAAAAGCAUCAACUGCCUACACCAACCUGCUUCUUUAUACAAUUCUUGUCAGCUCUGACUGCAGAGGAAGUGUCUGAUAAUCAUUCUGUGGCAGCCUGACUAGCCAUGGUAGAAGUUUUCUGUCCCAUUUUCUAGACACUUUUUACAAAAUUUGUUCAACUCUCUCCCUCUCUCUCUUUUUGGAAAGAAGCAAAGAUGCAACAAAGUCGACCUUAAAAAAGAAAUCUUCUAUGAUGGCUACACUGCUGUUUUUAUUUCACUCUUUUAUGCAUUGAAAACAGAUAAACACUGCCACCUGCUGUUCAACCAAUCAAUUUGUACUUCUCUUUCAGCUGAUUAUUAUGUCUCCAUAGCUAAGUUGAAAUCCAACCAUAUUUUUUGUGGUCAAAAAUUAAAUUUUUGAGAUAUCUUUUUCUUCCUCAUGUGAAUCCCUGUAAAAUCAAAUUAAAGGUCACAUAUUAUUAAAAAAAAUACACUUCAGCAUGUUUCUCUAACACUAACAUGUGUCUCUAGUCUGUGCAAACCCCCCAAAUGAUGAGAAAAGUCCAUCCUCUCCGUCUUCUGCCUGCUCCACUUUUCAGAAAAUGUGUGCUCAAACAGGCCGUUUGGAGAUUUUCCCUUCAUGACAUCACAAAGGGCAGUAGCCCCUCCCCCAGGUGGGUGACACUCCCACAGCUAGGUGUUUGUUCUGUCCUCUGAGUCUGCCUUCUCACCUUAAACAAAAGGGCAUGGAGCGAGCCCGAGCCACAUCUCCUUCCAGAGAGGGGGCGUGGUCAAACACAGCUCAUUAGCAUUUAAAGGUACAGACACAGAAACAGCCUGUUCUGAGCAGGGCUGAAAUAGAGGGGUUUAUAGACAUGAUCAAAUACAGGAUCAGAGUGGAUUUAGAACAAGACACUUCACAGACAUGUUUUGGGGAGCUCUGAGACUUAUUUAAACGUAAUGAAAAAGAUGAUAAUAUGUGACCUUUAAAGCAGUUUCCUUUUGUUCUACAAGGUACCAGCGCCAUUUUGUGGGUUAUACUCCAGGUACAGUACAUUGUAUAAUCAAGAAUGUCCAAUGUGAAAUGCCAUUAAUGUAUACUGUUAUAUAUACUGAGUAUGUAACACGCAUUAAGGCAGAUGUGAAUGCUGCAUUUUUCUGUCAUGGCUGGACUCUUCUACACAGACAGGACUACGUUUGGUAUUAGAUCUAGUGAUGCUGAAUUGCAAAAAAGAAACAGUGUUUUAUUUAUUUGCCCUUGAAGUGAAGCUUUGGUUUGUAUUUUUCUUUACAACAGGAAACACUUUAAAAAGUUCCUUAAAGUGUACCAAGACCGACUCUUUCGUAUUUAACAUCGAGCUGAGUACAGUGCGUCGUUAUCUGUGUUGUUUUUGGGUGAGUCAGCGAUAAUGUUUGAGAGAGACGAGGACCAGACAGUAAUUGUAAGUCAUUAAAAGUGUGUUCUCACUUAGAGCCUGGUGGCGGAGUAGGGUAUAAAAUUGACUUUUGUACAGAUUGGUAGUCCCAUGUGGAGUAGUUAAGCCAUCUGUGCUGAAGGAGGCAAAAACCUGAGACGUUUAAAACCCGCCUGGUUGAACUUAAGUAUAUUAUUUGUGAUGCGAUACACCUAAUCCAUCUGGGAGAGUAGAACAAACCCGUAUUACUCACAAAUACUGUCUGGCCCCUGUGAGGUGUCAUCCUGUUUUCUUAAAGCUGUUUAUCACAGAGAGUUUUUAGCACAAUUAAUCCCACUGCCCGACUCCUCCAGCAGUCCGUCACACAGUCAGCGUCUUACCCUGUAACAAAACCUUCAUUUCUGUUCGUCUACAGAUGUCGCAGAGGGAUUUGUUGUAAUGUUCGGUUGGUUGUUUUUUUUUGGGUACGUCCACGUUUGUUUUGUUCACCGCCGUCGGCACCUCUACAAACACAUCCCAAACGGUGCGGACACAGCACCCCCCACCCAAAGCCUUACAGGAAAGAUGGAUUCUUUGAUUGUUUUUUCAGUUUGUGUAUAUUUCACUUCACGCAAGCAGGAAGGGACGGCUCCCUAAACGGAAUGAGACAUUGUUGAAGUGCACUUGAUUUUGAAUUGCGAUGUUAAUUUUUCUUACCUUGGAGAAGUCCCGUCUUUCUUAUGUUUGAGAAAUAAAUGGCUGAGGUAUUAACAUCU